UGAGCCACCGUGCCUGGCCCAGGGUUAUUUCUUGUUCCACUUUCCUUUUUGUUAACUAAUUCAUAGGUCAAACAUUUUUUUGAGCGAGUAUGUGCUAGCUCUUUGAUGGAUGCUGGGAGAUAGCGUUAAAGGAGUCAUGUUGUUGCUAUCAAUGAGCUCAUAGCCAAGGGGAAGAGGCAAAUACAUAAAAGAAUUCCAGUAUACUUUAAUGAGGCUUGAAAGAUAUGUGGACAGAAACGUGUGAGGGAACUAACAGCAUGUAUCCCUAAAUGAAUUUGAGGGAAAAGCAGGGAGAAAAAUGGAAAACUUUGCAGAUGAAAUGGCACUGGAAGUUAGGCAGGUGGGAGCAUCUUCAACAGAAGCACUAGUAAGUGCAAACACUUGGAGAGUGAGAACAUGGCCAAGCGGGGUGAUGAGAAGUAAUUCAGUAUUGUUGUAGUGUAAAGUGUGUGGUGGCAAGUGUUAGGAUAUGAGAAAGAUAGAUGGGGCAAGAUCAUGUAGAGUUGAAUUUUAUUUUUUAAGCGAUUUUAGUGUCGUAAGAUUAUCAGAAGCGUAGUGACAUGAUCAGAUUUAUGUUUCAGAAAAUAAGUCUGUUGUGAAGGAGGAUCUGAAAUAAGAAGUUAACAGCAUUAAUAUUUAAAAGCUGCUAAAGGUUUACUCCAGUGCAUUUCAUACAUCAUCUCAAUCCUUACAAAAAGGCUAUGACAUCACAACUAAAAUCAUUCCUUUUUAGAUUAAAAAUGGGCACAGAGAGCUCAAGUACUUUGCCAAACGGUUAUGUGGUGAGUUAUAUAACUAAUGUGGUGAAGCUGAGAUUUGAAUCCAGGUAGUCUAACAGCAGAGUUUGGAUGCUUAAUUGCUGUGCCUUACAAGGGGCCGGACAAAGGGCAAGUUAGGAUUCCACGGAGAUCAUCUAAGUAAUGAAUGAUCAGGGCUUGCACUAAGGCAGUGGCAACAGUGUUGUAAGGUGGAGCACAUGUCUGGCGAUUUUGAGGAAGCAGAAUUCACAGGACAUGAUUGACUAUAGAGGAGUAAGGGAGUGAGGAUCCGGGAUGACUGUCUGGUUCCUAGUUGGUUUCUUGUAGGAGACCCGUUCACUAAGGCAGAAGACAUGUGAAGAAAUGAGGUUUGGAAAAAGAGGGGGACAUAAUCAGGUCAGUUUUGGAUGUGCUUGAGUUGGACAAACCAAAUGGAGAAAUCUAGAAAGCAACUGGGCCUGAAGGUGAGGAGAGAACAGAAGCCAGAGGGGUGAUGAGAUUCCUGAGGGGAUGGGCAAGGAGGAGAAGAUCCGUGAAGGCAGGGCUCAGAUACCCCCUGCAACUGUCUCCCACCUUGAAGGGAUAAGCAGAGAAAUACAAGCUAUCUACCAGAAUAUCAGACCUAGUGAUCAUUUAUUUAACAAAAUGAUAGUAAAGAAACAAAUGACUGAAGAUUCAUGCAGUUUAGAUUUUUAGGAAGUCCAGCUGCUUUCAAGGUAAAUGUCUCCGUACUCCUAGGAGAUAUUGGCAAAUCUAGUUUGCUUAUUUGAUAUAUAUUUAUCCCUAUUUUUUUCAAAUGGGAUCAAGUACUUUUGUAGUAAUGACAUGACAAACAUUAUUCGUUUUCAGAAAUCUUUUCAGUUAUAGUAAUUUCCUUUUAGCCUUGAAAAAUGGAAAACUAUCCUCAACCCUCUAAAUACUCUUGUUGUAAGAAAGUCUUCUGAUCUCUAACAUCACUUUUUUUUUUUUAAAUCUUAGUUUUUAAUUGUAUAUAUAUACUUAAAAUGUUUCCUGGUUAGUUUUCAGUCUUCACCUUCUGCAAGUUCCAUGACAGCAGGAACCAUUUAUUUCACCACUGUAUGCUUGGGGCCUAGCAGGUUUUUGGCAUACUUCUUGAUUAACUCAUGAACUUUACUAGCUCCUCCCAUCCCAAAUCUCCUCCUUUCCUCCCUCCCUCCCUCUCUUCUUUCCUUCUGUUCAACAAAUAUUUGUUGGAUGCCUACUGUAAGCCAGGGAUUCAGCUUAGACUGGUAUAUAAAGAUGACUAAGGCAGUGCUCCUGCUCUUAAUACUUUGGUAGAUACAAACUUGGUAUGUGGGUAGCACCUUGAUGUCUAGAAUUUCACCAAGAAGAUAGCAAGGGGGCCGGGUGCGUUGGCUCACGCCUGUAAUCCCAGCACUUUGG
rnacentral:lncRNA from 1 species